ACAUGAAGUUGGAAUCGCUAGUAAUCGCGAAUCAGAAUGUCGCGGUGAAUACGUUCCCGGGUCUUGUACACACCGCCCGUCACACCACGAGAGUUUACAACACCCGAAGUCAGUGGCCUAACCGCAAGGAGGGAGCUGCCUAAGGUGGGGUAGAUGAUUGGGGUGAAGUCGUAACAAGGUAUC
rnacentral:rRNA from 1 species